rnacentral:rRNA from 1 species
GUGUCAGCCGCCGCGGUAAUACGGAGGGGGCGAGCGUUAUUCGGAAUCAUUGGGCGUAAAGGGCGCGUAGGCGGCCCGAUAAGUCAAAGGUGAAAUCCCUCGGCUCAACUGAGGAACUGCCUUUGAAACUGUCGGGCUUGAGGCCGGGAGGGGGUGGCGGAAUUCCCAGUGUAGCGGUGAAAUGCGUAGAUAUUGGGAGGAACACCAGUGGCGAAGGCGGCCACCUGGACCGGUUCUGACGCUGAUGCGCGAAAGCGUGGGGAGCAAACAGGAUUAGAAACCCCCGUAGUCC